rnacentral:rRNA from 1 species
GACGAACGCUGGCGGCGUGCUUAACACAUGCAAGUCGAACGGAAAGGCCCUGCUUUUGUGGGGUGCUCGAGUGGCGAACGGGUGAGUAACACGUGAGUAACCUGCCCUUGACUUUGGGAUAACUUCAGGAAACUGGGGCUAAUACCGGAUAGGAGCUCCUGCUGCAUGGUGGGGGUUGGAAAGUUUCGGCGGUUGGGGAUGGACUCGCGGCUUAUCAGCUUGUUGGUGGGGUAGUGGCUUACCAAGGCUUUGGCGGGUAGCCGGCCUGAGAGGGUGACCGGCCACAUUGGGACUGAGAUACGGCCCAGACUCCUACGGGAGGCAGCAGUGGGGAAUAUUGCACAAUGGGCGGAAGCCUGAUGCAGCAACGCCGCGUGCGGGAUGACGGCCUUCGGGUUGAAAACCGCUUUCGCCUGUGACGAAGCGUGAGUGACGGUAAUGGGUAAAGAAGCACCGGCUAACUACGUG